GUUUUAACUUUUAAUAUCUUGAGUGUCUUUUCCGAUGACCUUCAACUCGAGGUUUGCUUGGGUAAAUAAUGAUUUUGUACUUCAACUCCAGAGAUUUCAUAGGCAACAAAAUCAUAAUUCACAAUUCCUGAUCCUGCAGAAGUAAUUUGUACUUGUUACAGUCUUACAAUGGCGGAAAAUGCCCGUAUGGGAAGUGUAAAGAAGAGAUGAUACUCCCUCAAAACUUAUCGCCAUUUCAUAUUUCUUGUUAAUGGCGACGAUUCGAUGUAUAGCCAGUUUUAGAAAGCCGAUGUAAACAGUAAAUCCAUUUUCUCUUGUCGAAGACUUACGGGGUACUGUAUUCAUUCACUGUCGCUGUUAGUGACGACUGACGACUGACGACCACUUUGAGACCAAAAGCCACAUAAAUCGAUUACAGUGUAGGCUGAGGGAAGAGGAGGGGCAAACUGAGUAGCGAAUCUAGGACCUUGUCUAAGCAAGCAGUGCCAGUACUUGAUUCAACUGAGACGAGACCGAAUUCUCGAAUUAUUUGGUUUCUUAAAAGCAAGUAAGGUGGUAGAGGAUUAUGGGUUGAGAGUUUUUUUAGAGGCUCCUGUUUUUGAGCUCAUUUGUUGGCUGUUUAGCCUUUUCCUGCAAUGAUUUUUUUAAAAAAAUAGUUUUUUGAGUUUAUUACCACUCUCAAUAAAGAUGAAGAGAAUGCCUUUUAGAGUCCAGUGUAUAUGAACUACUGGGGAGGUUUGACUUGCUUUUUCGAAUGUUUCACCGUAUCUUCCUGCAAGGUAGCAAAGGAGGGCUGGAGAGGGAUCCACCAGGGGUCUUCCUCUGAUGAUUAAGUCGGUAAGGGUUUUGAGAUGAUUGCUGAUAAAGCUUAUAAAGAAUUAGAGCUAUUUUUGUACGAGAGAAUAAUGCUUGAGUUUCAGUGUAAAAGUUACGUUACCCUUGGUGAUGUAUGACACUAUAUGUUUAUAGUGGUGGGCCUUAGGAGAGGUUUCCAAAACCCUAAUGGCAGUUUAGGCUUUUACCUUAAAUGAAAUCUUUUUCGGGAUCAGUGAAAAGAGAAAUAGAAUAUUUUGUAAGCUUAUGUGGCGUUUGGUGAUUUGCUAAUCCUUACACCAUGGUCUCCACUCUCUGUCUUUUAGUUAGGUGUGGUGUCUUGCCUUGAUGAUUGUCAUUAAAAAAUUUCUAUAAAACUUUUAUAAAUUUUAAAUUUUCUUAAAAAAUUGAUCAAUAUAGUUUUAAAACUUUAACUAUUAAAUAUUGACUUAAAACACAAAAAUAAAGCUCACAAAUAAAAAGUGAUAAUGUAGAACUGCAAAUAUACGUAAAUUUAAAAAGGACAAAACUGUCACAUUUGACGUCUUUUAAGGAACGAGCACUUUUUGAAUCACGAGUCAAAAUUCAUGAAUUAUGACCCACUAAUUUUCGAUCAGUUAAACAAUAAUAUGAGAACAAAUUUUUUUUUGCCAUCAUUUUAGACUUAAAAAAUAUUUCAACAUUAUUUGGGAAAAAUUACUCUUAGCAACAAUCUCUCCACCAAAACAUGUGAAUAUCUUUUUUUUUUAUUAUUAUUUUCACUAAGACUUUAUUAUACAACAGCUAGUACGAAGUACUUGGUUAAACUUGAAACUAUCCUUAUCAAAAACAGCUCAUUCAAGACUAAGCAAGAAAUUAGAUAACUCAUAUCUAUCUAUUGGGAGCAAAAGGGAAGUAGACCCAAUCAACCAUAUAUCUUCACUAGUUGCCAUUCCCCAUUUUAUCUCACACAACUCAUAAUUUUAACUAUUAAUAAUUUUAAAAUAAAUAAUAAUAAUUAAAUAAAA